rnacentral:rRNA from 1 species
GAUGAACGCUGGCGGCGUGCCUAAUACAUGCAAGUCGAGUGAACAGACGAGGAGCUUGCUCCUCUGACGUUAGCGGCGGACGGGUGAGUAACACGUGGAUAACCUACCUAUAAGACUGGGAUAACUUCGGGAAACCGGAGCUAAUACCGGAUAAUAUAUUGAACCGCAUGGUUCAAUAGUGAAAGACGGUUUUGCUGUCACUUAUAGAUGGAUCCGCGCCGCAUUAGCUAGUUGGUAAGGUAACGGCUUACCAAGGCGACGAUGCGUAGCCGACCUGAGAGGGUGAUCGGCCACACUGGAACUGAGACACGGUCCAGACUCCUACGGGAGGCAGCAGUAGGGAAUCUUCCGCAAUGGGCGAAAGCUUGACGGAGCAACGCCGCGUGAGUGAUGAAGGUCUUCGGAUCGUAAAACUCUGUUAUUAGGGAAGAACAAAUGUGUAAGUAACUAUGCACGUCUUGACGGUACCUAAUCAGAAAGCCACGGCUAACUACGUG